GACCCCUAACCCGUUGGAUCCCCCAACUCUAAAUUAAAAGGGAACACCCGAUAAACCAAUGCAACCCUAAAACCACCGCUGAAAAAUCAAUAGCAUUCAAAUCUAGAGUUCUUCUGUUUUCUUCUUAAACUUUUGUGUUAGGACUGUUUAGGUCGUCGAAAAGGCGUACAAUAUCGGAGAAUAGUUGUUCAUCGAAGAAGAUGUACCAUUGUGGAGAAGUUGCCAAUCAUUUCACUUUGAAAACUCUCCUAAACCCAGGAAGGAGAUUCUACAAGCACCCUAAAACUGAGGUAAUUUUUCCCCCUUCCAUAUGUGUUAAUAUCUAUUGUUUCAGCACUUCUUUAAAUUUGUUUGCGUUUCGUUUAGAAUGAGGGCUGUGGUUUUUGGCAAUAGCAAGAUGAAGAAUUC
rnacentral:lncRNA from 1 species